rnacentral:rRNA from 1 species
CCUACGGGAGGCAGCAGUAAGGAAUAUUGGUCAAUGGGCGAGAGCCUGAACCAGCCAUGCCGCGUGCAGGAAGACAGCCCUCUGGGUCGUAAACUGCUUUUAUUCGGGGAAUAAACCUACUUACGUGUAAGUAGCUGAAUGUACCGAAGGAAUAAGGAUCGGCUAACUCCGUGCCAGCAGCCGCGGUAAUACGGAGGAUCCAAGCGUUAUCCGGAUUUAUGGGUUUAAAGGGUGCGUAGGCGGCCUGUUAAGUCAGGGGUGAAAGACGGUAGCUCAACUAUCGCAGUGCCCCUUGAUACUGAUGGGCUUGAAUGAACUAGAGGUAGGCGGAAUGUGACAAGUAGCGGUGAAAUGCAUAGAUAUGUCACAGAACACCGAUUGCGAAGGCAGCUUACUAUGGUUUUAUUGACGCUGAGGCACGAAAGCGUGGGGAUCAAACAGGAUUAGAUACCCUGGUAGUCCACGCCCUAAACGAUGAACACUCGCUGUUGGCGAUACACAGUCAGCGGCUAAGCGAAAGCGUUAAAGNGUUCCACCUGGGGAGUAACGCCGCAAGGGUUGAAACUUCGAAAGGAAUUGACCGGNNGAGAGNGCGAGACGACGACGAGGAGGAGG